rnacentral:tRNA from 1 species
GUGCCCGUAGCUCAGUUGGAUAGAGCACCAGCCUCCGACGCUGGGUGUCGCCGGUUCGAAUCCGGCCGGGCAUGCCA